rnacentral:rRNA from 1 species
CGUUAAUCGGAAUUACUGGGCGUAAAGCGAGCGUAGGUGGCUUGAUAAGUCAGAUGUGAAAUCCCCGGGCUUAACCUGGGAACUGCAUCUGAUACUGUUAGGCUAGAAUAGGUGAGAGGAAGGUAGAAUUCCAGGUGUAGCGGUGAAAUGCGUAGAGAUCUGGAGGAAUACCGAUGGCGAAGGCAGCCUUCUGGCAUCAUAUUGACACUGAGGUUCGAAAGCGUGGGUAGCAAACAGGAUUAGAUACCCUGGUAGUCCACGCCGUAAACGAUGUCUACUAGUCGUUGGGUCCCUUGAGGACUUAGUGACGCAGCUAACGCAAUAAGUAGACCGCCUGGGGAGUACGGCCGCAAGGUUAAAACUCAAAUGAAUUGACGGGGGCCCGCACAAGCGGUGGAGCAUGUGGUUUAAUUCGAUGCAACGCAAAGAACCUUACCUGGUCUUGACAUAUCUAGAAUCCUGCAGAGAUGCGGGAGUGCCUUCGGGAAUUAGAAUACAGGUGCUGCAUGGCUGUCGUCAGCUCGUGUCGUGAGAUGUUGGGUUAAGUCCCGCAACGAGCGCAGCCCUUGUCCUUAGUUACCAGCGGGUUAAGCCGGGAACUCUAAGGAUACUGCCAGUGACAAACUGGAGGAAGGCGGGGACGACGUCAAGUCAUCAUGGCCCUUACGACCAGGGCUACACACGUGCUACAAUGGUAGGUACAGAGGGCAGCUACACAGCGAUGUGAUGCGAAUCUCAAAAAGCCCAUCGUAGUCCAGAUUGGAGUCUGCAACUCGACUCCAUGAAGUAGGAAUCGCUAGUAAUCGCGGAUCAGAAUGCCGCGGUGAAUACGUUCCCGGGCCUUGUACACACCGCCCGUCACACCAUGGGAGUUGAUUGCCCCAGAAGUGGAUAGCCUAACCGUAAGGAAGGCGUUCACCACGGUGUGGUUGAUGACUGGGGUG